ACCACAAUCUUUAUUGUUGCACAACAGGCCCCCACACAGAGUAAGAACCCCAAACAUGGGUUGCAAGCUCUUUGAAGACCUUCCCUCCCUACCAGAAAACAUGUCCAGAACCAUCAUUGAUACAUCACUGAUACAUCAUCAUCAUGUCACAAUGAGGUAGGGGAGUCGUGAGGUUACAGAAGCUCAGCUCAACAAUUGCCCCGUGUCAUAAAUGAGCCAGACUCCAGAGAAGGUUUGCAGCCAACUAGCAGUGAAGGAAGCAGCCAGGAAGAGAGAGGAUCUGGCCAGGGUGCAGAAGGCCCGGCCAGGGUGAAGAAUCCUGGGUGUCAGGAGUGCGUGCAGGAGCCAGGCCCUGUGGCCAGUAGGACUUUGCAGGGCUGGGGCCUUCCUAAGUGCAGGGCACAGAAAGAAAUGCUUUGCCAGGGCACAAGAAGAAAUGCCUAGCCGAGAGGGGCGCUUCCAAGAUGGUGAUAGAACAGUGGUGAGUAGACCACAAUCUUUAUUGAUGCGCAACAAGUCCCCACACAGAGUAAGAACCUCGAACAUGGGUUGCAAGUUCUUUGAAGACCUUCCCUCCUGACCAGAAUACAUGUCCAAAACCAUCAUUGAUACAUCACUGAUACAUCAUCAUCAUGAUGUCACAAUGAAGUAGGGGAGUCGUGAGGUCACACAAGCUCAACAAUUGCCCCGUGUCAUAAAUGAGCCAGACCCCAGGGAAGGUUUGCAG
rnacentral:lncRNA from 1 species